rnacentral:rRNA from 1 species
UGCUCCUCGGGUGACGAGUGGCGGACGGGUGAUAAUGUCUGGGGAUCUGCCCGAUAGAGGGGGAUAACCACUGGAAACGGUGGCUAAUACCGCAUAACGUCGCAAGACCAAAGAGGGGGACCUUCGGGCCUCUCACUAUCGGAUGAACCCAGAUGGGAUUAGCUAGUAGGCGGGGUAAUGGCCCACCUAGGCGACGAUCCCUAGCUGGUCUGAGAGGAUGACCAGCCACACUGGAACUGACACACGGUCCAGACUCCUACGGGAGGCAGCAGUGGGGAAUAUUGCACAAUGGGCGCAAGCCUGAUGCACCCAUGCCGCGUGUAUGAAGAAGGCCUUCGGGUUGUAAAGUACUUUCAGCGGGGAGGAAGGCGGUGCGGUUAAUAACCGCGCCGAUUGACUUUACCCGCAAAAGAAGCACCGGCUAACUCCGUGCCAGCAGCCGCGGUAAUACGGAGGGUGCAAGCGUUAAUCAGAAUUACUGGGCGUAAAGCGCACGCAGGCGGUCUGUUAAGUCAGAUGUGAAAUCCCCGGGCUUAACCUGGGAACUGCAUUUGAAACUGGCAGGCUUGACUCUCGUAGAGGGGGGUAGAAUUCCAGGUGUAGCGGUGAAAUGCGUAGAGAUCUGGAGGAAUACCGGUGGCGAACGCGGCCCCCUGGACAAAGACUGACUCUCAUGUGCGAAAGCGUGGGGAGCA